AAUAUCAUCGUCGUUGUCGUUGUCGUUGUCGGACUAUGUUCACAAAGUUUAACAUUCAGUACUUUUGAAUACUUUGCGGCGUCGUGAACUGAUCGCUCUCGAAGAAGUGUUGAUCGUGCGAAGUUGUAACAUUUAUAUCUACACUUACAUCAAGUUAAAUGAGAACUCUAACCGGCAGCGCUCCAGCUGAAUUGUGAAUUUUGAACGUGCAAAACAAGAAAGGAAAUAAAUAAUUCAACAAAAUUUAGUGAAGUUGCGAGAAAGUUGAAAUUUUAUAUAUAACUACAUAAUAUACUAUACAUAUAUUUGUAUAUGAAAAAGUGUUUUCAAAAAUUAUUUUAAAGUAUAAAAAAAUACUAAUUAUAACAUCAACCACAAAUAUUAAGGUGUGCAUUUUAUUGAAAAAGGCGCGUUCAACAAAUUUUUUCAUCCGUCCUGUGGAAAUUAGCUCCGCCAUGUCCCACCCAUCACAUCUACCUCCACAACCGAUCCCCAUUGCGGUGAUAAAUCGUGGCGCACCACAAACAACGGCCGAUCGGCGUGCAAGCUUUGCGCGUCGCGCUGAAAGUUUGGUGGAGCGGGUGAGAGUAUUGAAUCAAAUA